rnacentral:tRNA from 1 species
GAGCCGGUAGCUCAGCAGGUAGAGCAGCGGACUUUUAAUCCGCGGGUCGAGGGUUCGAGUCCCUCUCGGCUCACCA